CCAAACCCAGAGUCACAGCCUGUUAUAAGCACAGCUCUGCUGCCAAUCUGCAAAACAGAACAAAACAAUGCACUGGAACGGAGUAAUCAAGAACAGCCAUUCGUGUGCACUGAACAAAUAGUGUCCUUGGCCAGGAGCAACCUGUUCUAGGCACAUUUUCUAUGUUCAUUGCCAGCUACUGCCACCCAGUGCCUCCUGAAGAGAGAAACUAAGGCUUCAUACAAAAAAUCACUCCAGUGAGGUUUGAAAAAUAAGCAGUACACUUCUUUCCUUCUCCAAGUACUUUGCAUCUCACAAGGCAGCAGUUAAGUUCUGUGUUAAGAACUGCAUCAUGUAUCCAUCUUAGCAACACCAGGUUUAUAGAAACGUGAUGGUUCCUUGCACUGCACCAAUGCCUACUUGCUGAUGUUCAGGAAUGCCCUGAAAGGUUGUAGGAUCUCCAUCCUUGGAGACUUUCAAAAGCAGCCUGGAUGCGGUCCUGGGCAAGCAGCUCCUUGCUCUUCUUGAGCAAAGAGGUUGACCAAAUGAGCUCUGGAGGGCCCUCCCACCCUCAGCAAUUCUGAUGCUCUGUAAAUAAACUGCCCCACUGAAAUCAAGUGAUGUGUGCUUUACUCAAGAUCUUGCUCUUC